rnacentral:rRNA from 1 species
AGAGUUUGAUCAUGGCUCAGGAUGAACGCUAGCUACAGGCUUAACACAUGCAAGUCGAGGGGUAGCAGGAUCUAGCAAUAGAUUGCUGACGACCGGCGCACGGGUGAGUAACACGUAUCCAACCUUCCGUUUACUCGGGGAUAGCCUUUCGAAAGAAAGAUUAAUACCCGAUAGUAUGUUUUUUCCCGCAUGGGAGAACCAUUAAAGUUUUUCGGUAAUCGAUGGGGAUGCGUUCCAUUAGGCAGUUGGUGAGGUAACGGCUCACCAAACCUUCGAUGGAUAGGGGUUCUGAGAGGAAGGUCCCCCACAUUGGAACUGAGACACGGUCCAAACUCCUACGGGAGGCAGCAGUGAGGAAUAUUGGUCAAUGGACGAGAGUCUGAACCAGCCAAGUAGCGUGAAAAGGAUGACUGCCCUAUGGGUUGUAAACUUCUUUUAUAUGGGAAUAAAGGAGCCUACGUGUAGGUUUUUGUAUGUACCAUACGAAUAAGGAUCGGCUAACUCCGUGCCAGCAGCAGC